rnacentral:ncRNA from 1 species
UAAAAGUUUGAUUCUUGCUUGGGAUUCUUAUGUAGUUACUGAAGUUGUAUGAAAGUUUUUAAGCUGGUAAUAGCAAUAUCUAUUAUAUAUGGUGUUGUGUGAAAAUUAAGAAAAUUCUAAAAUAUUUAAAUUCUCAGCAUAAAGUAUUAAAUAAAUAUAUGAAAAUGUGAUUUAGCAGUAAAUAAUAAAUCUGACUAAUAUUGUGCCAGCAGUCGCGGUUAGACUUUAAGGUUAAGUAAGAAAAUGUCAGUCUUAGUUAAUUAGAUAAUAGUUUAGUUGAAUAUGUAAUUUCGAAGUCAAAUAAAAGGUGAAAUUAAAUUGUAAUUUUUGAAGUUUUAAGCAAUGAACUUUAAUGGAAGCUAAUAAGUUUUAGGUUUAAACUAGGAUUAGAUACCCUAUUAUACUAAAAUUAAAUUAUUAUAGGACUUGAUUAUUAAUAGUUAUGAACUAAAAAUUUAAAGAAUUUGGCGGUAAUUUAGUCUUGUCAGAGGAACCUGUUUAUUAAUCGAUAAGCCACGAAGAAUCUUACUUAUUUUAUUAAUUUGUAUACCAUCAUUAGCAGAUAAUUUUUAAAGAAUAAUAAUUAUUGUAACUAUAAGAGUAGAAAAAUUAGAUCAAGGUGCAGUUUAUAAAUAAGUUUAAAUGGGUUACAAUAAAUUUUAUUUAUACGGAGUAUAUAAUAGAAUAAUUAUUAGGAAGGAGGAUUUGAUUGUAAUUUAAUUUUAAUAAGGUUAAAAGAUAUAAGCUCUAAAUUAUGUACAUAUCGCCCGUCGCUUUCAUUGUAAAUGAGAUAAGUCGUAACAUAGUAGAUGUAUUGGAAAAUGUAUCUAGAUUUAU